UAGGAAUCUUCCACAAUGGACGAAAGUCUGAUGGAGCAACGCCGCGUGAGUGAAGAAGGGUUUCGGCUCGUAAAACUCUGUUGUUAAAGAAGAACAUAUCUGAGAGUAACUGUUCAGGUAUUGACGGUAUUUAACCAGAAAGCCACGGCUAACUACGUGCCAG
rnacentral:rRNA from 1 species